rnacentral:rRNA from 1 species
UACGUAGGGUGCGAGCGUUGUCCGGAAUUACUGGGCGUAAAGAGCUCGUAGGUGGUUUGUCGCGUUGUUCGUGAAAUCCCACGGCUUAACUGUGGGCGUGCGGGCGAUACGGGCAGACUGGAGUACUGCAGGGGAGACUGGAAUUCCUGGUGUAGCGGUGGAAUGCGCAGAUAUCAGGAGGAACACCGAUGGCGAAGGCAGCUCGCUGGGACGGUAUUGACGCUGAGACGCGAAAGCGUGGGGAGCAAACAGG